UUUCGAUGUGAGUAUAUUGUAUCUUUACUCGUCUCCAGAUAGAUUGUUACUAACAACGGAGUUAAAAACGCAACUUUCGUGUGUUAACUUUCAAAGCUUUUGUCUCAGUUUUUGUUUAUUGUGGGAAUGGAACUUUUUAUCGCGCGAUGAUAUUGCUGGAUGUUUUGGAAUCAAUACAGGGUUGUAUUGGCUGAUGUUUGCAAAAUUAAAUCAAAAUCGUCGGAGUCAUUAUUGAAGAAAUUGCAAUAAUUAUAAAAAAUCAUAUUGGAAGUAUCUUUUCUCAAAGGGGAUAUUGAAAGCAGAAACCAUUGAAUAAUUACAAAUAAAAGUGGCACGGCAGAUUACUUAUGCGACUAUAGGAUCACCGGAAUUUAGAUAAACUGCAGGGUUUCGCCUCAACUAUCAUUGUAUUUUGGAGUUGCCUCUAAACUAAUCAUGAAAAAUUUUAUAAUUAUUAUUUUUCAACAUUUUCAAGGGUAAUUUUCAUUGGACCUCUGUAACAGUUGAAUUUUCUGUAGAUAGUAUUUGUUUCAAAAUUUUCUUUGACUUAUAACCUGUUUUCACUAGAGCCCAAAUGAGAUAAUUUCGCAAAUGAGGUCAGUUCAGAUUUCAAAUUAAAUUUUUUUACAUUCGAAAUGAGAUAAUUUGGUUAAUUAUCUAGUGAAACAGGCUUGUCGCAACAGAAUCUUAAAUGAAAAUUUUUAGACCAAAUUGAAACUUAGAAAUGUUAUUAUUAAACUUAAUUAUAUGAAGUAGUUGUCGACCAGGCAGACUGCAAAACCAUACCUUAAAGAUUAAAAUACUAUCAAAACAAAUAACAUCUAACUAAAACUACAUAAAUCAAUAGAUUUUUCUUCUUUGAAAUUAGAUUGAAAUUUUUUUUUGUUUUUGACUUGAUUCUGAGUUUUAUUUA